CUUUUAGAACAACUAUGGCAGCAGCAGCCUUAUCAAGAAGCAAAGGACGCCUGUUCUUCCUCCUCAGUCUGCUGUGUCUGGUUGGCCUCGCAAGUUUACGCAAAGACGACAUGAACCUGGUGAGCAAACUGCUGCUUAACUUCCCUUUGCUGUGAAAACAUAUUCUGCAGUUAUUUUGAGUCAACACAAGCAAACCUACUGUUGAAUUGUUCUUACUUUUUUACAUCUGUACUCGCAGAUAUGCUGGAGUUGUCAUGUUUAGACCCUUAUUUCCACCAAAUAACGACAUGUUGAUUCUCACACUCGAUUUGCAGGACAAUUCCAAAGUACUAAUUCAGAAAACGGAAGAAAAGCUAAACCAGUUGAAGGCACAAAAGGACUUCUUAUCAACGCUCAUGAGUGAAACAAAGACCUUUACUGAACAGAGGAUGGCCGCUUUGGAGAAGUUUUUGUCAGAAGAAUCUGCUGACGAUGAUCUACCACUGAAGAACCUUUUUCAGAGCUCGAUGCACUCAUUUGACUUAGCCAAGACUUUUUUCGACAAGGAGAAUGAGGUGUCUGAUGCAAAAAUAACCAACAUGAAACUAGAUCUGGAAAAGACUAAGCGACUUGUCCAAGCCCUUGAGGAGUACCACUCUGAAUUGUAAUGUUUAAGUCAGUCAAUGUCUCUAUUGUAUCUCUGAUAAUGAAUAUGUUGUAGUCUUUGGUCUUUCUUUUCUAUUGUGUUUCUAUGCAUUGGCGUUUAAAUCAUGAAUUCCUUUUUCCUUCGUUAUCAUACAAUUUGUGAAGCAGAGACAAUGUUAAUAAUAAAUCAAACAAAAUAAACACUGACAUGACAACAAUUAAACCAAAUGAUUUGUUUGGGCUUUUCUUUCAUUUGUAUUCUUAACCAAUAUUUUCUUUCAAUCAUUUUAUUUUAUCAUUUGAAAUAGGCUGCAUACUUAUUGGUAAAACUUUAAAAAUGUUUUGUCUUAGUCACAGUUGUUCAAGCUAUAUUAUCGUAGAAGGCCAUAGAGCCUGUGACCUCCCAGCAGAGAAGCCUGCAUAAGUAACUGGUGUGUGUUAUCUCAACUUGGCAGAGAGGGAGACGUUGGAGAAGCCUUGAUGCGUAUGAAACGUGUAUAUGUCAAACAUUUAGAGAAUAAGCAUAACUUGUGUAUUAGUAAUUUCCACUAUUUAAUACGGAGGAUGAGACAUAUUUCUCCGAGCAGCAACUUGAUGCAGGACUUGUACGUGUUUCAACUCUGUCUCCUACUUGCAAUGUUUAUUAUUUAGUAAAUGUCCUGUUUAGUGAUU
ensembl:lncRNA